GGUGGCGUUUCUACCUACCUUAUGGGGUAUGUCUUAAAGUGACAUUUUCACUUCGGUGGUAUCAUCUGUCAUUCGUCGGGCAGACUUGCAGUGUAACACGGUGAUCUUCGCUUCUCACUUCUCCAUGAGCUGCCUUGUCCCUUCGAUCUUCAUUCCCAGCUACUUUACAGGAAAGUAUAAGUGUAUCUUGUGUAUGUAUUUCUCUGUUCGGCCACUCCAUGUUUUGACACGAGAAAAGCUAAACCGCGCUCAAGCUCUAUCUCCGACUCAGACUGCUCAAACUCUGACUCUCACUACUCAAAGUCUGACUCUGACUAAGAAAACUUAAGAAACCUAAUAAUGUCGUGUGAAGAGACUUCGUACGGUUUAGUGUAGGAGACUAACCACUUCCCUGCCACGACUCAAUCGGUAGAGCAAACUCUUAAAUCAACUGUUACAGUAGAAACUGGAGGAGACUAUCAGGAACACGAGGGAUCUGGAAUCCCUAAGCGAUUGUGCUGGAUACUCCUAACUUCCGGUCGAUACACAUGCGGGUCGAACGAAGUAAAGGCGGACAGUCAGUGGAUGUACGGUGGAAUCCUCGUACGUACUCCUCUCCACACGUCACCCCCACAAACGGUUUUUUGCUCCCGCAAACGUAAACAAAUCCAUCCAGUCCAUCCCGCUGGAUUGUGUAGCACUCCAUCCUCCAUCCUGAUCCUCUUUCCCAUCCUGCACAAUCCACGCAUGUCCAUCCGAUGCCCAAUGACUGUACGCCUGAUCCGAUUAAUGUUAGCGUAGGAUCCUUAGCGUUGGCGGCAUCCGGAAGUCCAUGGGAUUGGCGAGGUGGAGGUCCAGGAUCCAGGGAGGCUAAAUUCUACCACUAACUACCAGUACUGUGCCGUGUAGUCGUGAUGUUUCUCUGUGAUGUAGUGACUGGCACAAGGCUUUAUUUACGCAUUUACAUGUACUGAAAUACUCAGUGUAUAGAUUGGUUUAUAAAACG